rnacentral:rRNA from 1 species
UACGAAGGGAGCUAGCGUUGUUCGGAAUCACUGGGCGUAAAGCGCACGUAGGCGGAUGUGUCAGUCAGGGGGUGAAAAUCCCGGAGCUCAACUUCGGAACUGCCUCUGAUACAGCACGUCUUGAGUCCGGAAGAGGUGGGUGGAAUUCCUAGUGUAGAGGUGAAAUUCGUAGAUAUUAGGAAGAACACCGGUGGCGAAGGCGGCCCACUGGUCCGGUACUGACGCUGAGGUGCGAAAGCGUGGGGAGCAAACAGG